UACGUAGGCAGCAAGCGUUGUUCGGAAUUACUGGGCGUAAAGAGUGUGUAGGCGGUGCUCUAAGUUCGGUGUGAAAUCUCCCGGCUCAACUGGGAGGGUGCGCCGAAAACUGGGGUGCUGGAGCGCGGGAGAGGAAAGCGGAAUUCCUGGUGUAGCGGUGAGAUGCGUAGAUAUCAGGAGGAACACCGGCGGUGUAGACGGCUUUCUGGACCGUAGCUGACGCUGAGACACGAAAGCGUGGGUAGCAAACAGG
rnacentral:rRNA from 1 species